rnacentral:rRNA from 1 species
UUCAGCGGCGGACGGGUGAGUAAUGCCUAGGAAUCUGCCCGAUAGUGGGGGACAACGUUUCGAAAGGAACGCUAAUACCGCAUACGUCCUACGGGAGAAAGUGGGGGAUCUUCGGACCUCACGCUAUCGGAUGAGCCUAGGUCGGAUUAGCUAGUUGGUGAGGUAAUGGCUCACCAAGGCGACGAUCCGUAACUGGUCUGAGAGGAUGAUCAGUCACACUGGAACUGAGACACGGUCCAGACUCCUACGGGAGGCAGCAGUGGGGAAUAUUGGACAAUGGGCGAAAGCCUGAUCCAGCCAUGCCGCGUGUGUGAAGAAGGUCUUCGGAUUGUAAAGCACUUUAAGUUGGGAGGAAGGGCUGUCGGCUAAUACCCUGCAGUUUUGACGUUACCAACAGAAUAAGCACCGGCUAACUUCGUGCCAGCAGCCGCGGUAAUACGAAGGGUGCAAGCGUUAAUCGGAAUUACUGGGCGUAAAGCGCGCGUAGGUGGUUCAGCAAGUUGGAUGUGAAAGCCCCGGGCUCAACCUGGGAACUGCAUCCAAAACUACUGAGCUAGAGUACGGUAGAGGGUGGUGGAAUUUCCUGUGUAGCGGUGAAAUGCGUAGAUAUAGGAAGGAACACCAGUGGCGAAGGCGACCACCUGGACUGAUACUGACACUGAGGUGCGAAAGCGUGGGGAGCAAACAGGAUUAGAUACCCUGGUAGUCCACGCCGUAAACGAUGUCAACUAGCUGUUGGGUUCCUUGAGAACUUAGUAGCGAAGCUAACGCGAUAAGUUGACCGCCUGGGG